rnacentral:tRNA from 1 species
AGGAAUAUAGCUCAGUGGUAGAGAACCUGCCUAGCAGGAGCAAUGCCCUGGGUUCAAUCCCCAGUACUG